ensembl:lncRNA
CCCACCCCAGCCACUAAGCCACAGCACACAGCCAAGGCAUCAGAAGCACUGCAUAAAGCCAUUUUGGUUCUAGCAGGAUUUCACUGCAUCUCCAGUUACUGUCAUUUUAUUUUGCAAUCAUCCUUUUUUUCUUAUCUCACAGAGUGUUUUCAGUCUUUUAGGACUCGUGCAGGAAUGGACCUGGAUUGAAAACUUGCCCAUGUCAAUUCACAAAAAUCACUUCUUGCUUCUGGAUCAGCUGCUUGGGCCUGUUGUGCUGGACUGAACCAGCCCAUGGGAAGUGGAUAAAUGCUGCUUUGUCUGGAACAAAAGUGGGCUGACUUCAUCUACGUGCAUUUAUUCUACAUUGCAUUAGCGUGUGAGAUUCUGGACCAAGCCUGAGCACGGUUCCAGUGACAAGCUGCCCAGAGCUGCAGGGUGUUCAGCACGUCCACACUGAAUUGCUCCCAUCUCUUCAUUUCAAUCUGCACAAGACCUAGAUCAUGUCCACACACCUUUGGCUGCCUGUGUGAACGCGUGCCUUGCUCUAUGCAGGCUGGAGGAGACACUCAACUCUCUCUCCAUAAGCACAUGUAGAAAUCUGGCUGGAUCCACACAUCCUGAUCUGUUUGAGGACACAGAAGCUGAAUUCCAGGAGGCUGAUGCUGGAGAGCUGUCUUUGUGCAAGGAACUGAGCAGAUAUUAUCUCUUCUGACUUCAACCAUGAAAUUAGCAGCCCAUUUUGUCUCACUGCAUCCAGGGCAGGAUUAGAGGCUGUGCCAUGGAGAGAACCGAC